GACAGAGGUGGCUAGCGUUGUUCGGUGUCACUGGGCUUAAAGCGUGUGUAGGCGGACCUGUAAGCAUUUUGUGAAAUCCCCCGGCUCAACCGGGGAAUCGCUUGAUGUACUGCAGGCCUUGAGGCAAGUAGGGGUGCAUGGAACUCUUGGUGGAGCGGUGGAAUGCGUAGAUAUCAAGAGGAACGCCAGAGGUGAAGACGGUGCACUGGGCUUGUCCUGACGCUGAUACACGAAAGCGUGGGGAG
rnacentral:rRNA from 1 species